UACGGAGGGUGCAAGCGUUGUCCGGAAUCACUGGGCGUAAAGGGCGCGUAGGCGGCCCGGUAAGUAGGGGGUGAAAUCCUGCGGCUUAACCGCAGGGCUGCCUUCUAAACUGUCGGGCUCGAGCACGGUAGAGGCAGAUGGAAUUCCCGGUGUAGUGGUGAAAUGCGUAGAUAUCGGGAGGAACACCAGUGGCGAAGGCGGCCCCCUGGGCCGAACCUGACGCUGAGGCGCGAAGGCUAGGGGAGCGAACGGG
rnacentral:rRNA from 1 species